rnacentral:rRNA from 1 species
GUAGCGCCUCGUGAAUUCAUCUCCGGGGGUAGAGCACUGUUUCGGCUAGGGGGCCAUCCCGGCUUACCAACCCGAUGCAAACUGCGAAUACCGGAGAAUGUUAUCACGGGAGACACACGGCGGGUGCUAACGUCCGUCGUGAAGAGGGAAACAACCCAGACCGCCAGCUAAGGUCCCAAAGUCAUGGUUAAGUGGGAAACGAUGUGGGAAGGCCCAGACAGCCAGGAUGUUGGCUUAGAAGCAGCCAUCAUUUAAAGAAAGCGUAAUAGCUCACUGGUCGAGUCGGCCUGCGCGGAAGAUGUAACGGGGCUAAACCAUGCAC